AACGAACGCUGGCGGCAGGCCUAACACAUGCAAGUCGAGCGCUCUCUUCGGAGGGAGCGGCGGACGGGUGAGUAACGCGUGGGAAUAUACCCUUCUCUACGGAAUAGCCUCGGGAAACUGAGAGUAAUACCGUAUACGCCCUUCGGGGGAAAGAUUUAUCGGAGAUGGAUUAGCCCGCGUUAGAUUAGAUAGUUGGUGGGGUAACGGCCUACCAAGUCUACGAUCUAUAGCUGGUUUUAGAGGACGAUCAGCCACACUGGGACUGAGACACGGCCCAGACUCCUACGGGAGGCAGCAGUGGGGAAUCUUAGACAAUGGGCGAAAGCCUGAUCUAGCCAUGCCGCGUGAGUGAUGAAGGUCUUAGGAUCGUAAAGCUCUUUCGCCAGGGAUGAUAAUGACAGUAC
rnacentral:rRNA from 1 species